GUGCGUUGUCAUGGGGUUUACGAGGUAGUAAUUUUAGCUUUCUCCAGUCCAGAAACUCAUGGAGGCUGGUGAAAGGGUCUUGAGAGAUAGAGCACUUAUCCAUGUCGUUCCACACUUCCACUCCAACCAGGGCUACUCGAAUAUUCAGCGGCCUAUAGAACUUAUCGACAUAGUUUGCAAUUUCUAUCAGCCUCUGCUUAAUUUUUUCCACAUCCUUGCCUUGUCUCUGAAACUCACGAUUAUCCGC
rnacentral:lncRNA from 1 species